GCAACAGCUGCACGUGUGGUGACACGCGUCUGUCCUUUUUAUUAAUUUUCUGUUUAUACCACAUCACACUCACCACAAAUAUUUGCUUUAGUGGAUUUGCUGACCUGCUGCUCAUUUCAAACGAACGAUUUGUACUACAGGCCAUUGCUACAAAUCACUUUAAGGACUUUUGCAGCUGCUUGGUGUUGACAGCCUGCACGUGGAAGGAGAGGGUGGGUGAGGACAAACCUCCAACAAGUAAACGUAGUCAGGACGUUAAAUGCUUUCUUUCUUUUAUGUCGAAAAAACAUGUUGGUAGUAAAAGUAGUAAAAAGGCUCGUGUGUAUUUGAGGAAGGUAUGGUAAUAAAGCAUUACUGAUGAAUGUU